GCAGUCACCCGUGUAUCUACAGCAAGCCAGGCAGCCGCUGAUGCUCGAGGCCGUGCUGGGCACCAGUCUGCAGCUGCAUCCAAUCUCUCUGGCCUCAGCCUCCAGGAAGCCCAGCAGAUUCUCAACAUCUCUAAGCUGAGCCCUGAGGAGGUGCAGAAGAAUUAUGAACACCUGUUUAAGGUGAAUGAUAAGUCCGUGGGUGGCUCUUUCUACCUGCAGUCAAAGGUUGUCCGUGCAAAGGAACGCCUAGAUGAGGAACUCCGAAUACAAGCCCAGGAAGACAGAGAGAAAGGGCAGACGCCCAAAACGUGACUGCUGGGCUCUCCACACCCACCCAUUGCCUCAUAAUUUAUAGCCUAGUAAUAAAUGUCUUUUCGUGUUU
rnacentral:lncRNA from 1 species